GACGUAGGGGGCGAGCGUUGCUCGGAAUCACUGGGCGUAAAGGGUGCGUAGGCGGCUUCUUAAGUCUGGUGUGAAAGCCCAGGGCUCAGCUCUGGAAGUGCACUAGAAACUGAGGAGCUUGAGUACCGGAGGGGAGAGUGGAAUUCCUGGUGUAGCGGUGAAAUGCGUAGAUAUCAGGAGGAAUACCGGUGGCGAAAGCGACUCUCUGGACGGUUACUGACGCUGAGGCACGAAAGCGUGGGGAGCAAACAGG
rnacentral:rRNA from 1 species